rnacentral:rRNA from 1 species
GAUGAACGCUGGCGGCGUGCCUAAUACAUGCAAGUCGAGCGAACAGAUAAGGAGCUUGCUCCUUUGACGUUAGCGGCGGACGGGUGAGUAACACGUGGAUAACCUACCUAUAAGACUGGGAUAACUUCGGGAAACCGGAGCUAAUACCGGAUAACAUAUUGAACCGCAUGGUUCAAUAGUGAAAGGCGGCUUUGCUGUCACUUAUAGAUGGAUCCGCGCCGUAUUAGCUAGUUGGUAAGGUAACGGCUUACCAAGGCAACGAUACGUAGCCGACCUGAGAGGGUGAUCGGCCACACUGGAACUGAGACACGGUCCAGACUCCUACGGGAGGCAGCAGUAGGGAAUCUUCCGCAAUGGGCGAAAGCCUGACGGAGCAACGCUGCGUGAGUGAUGAAGGUCUUCGGAUCGUAAAACUCUGUUAUCAGGGAAGAACAAAUGUGUAAGUAACUGUGCACAUCUUGACGGUACCUGAUCAGAAAGCCACGGCUAACUACGUG